rnacentral:rRNA from 1 species
GGAUUAGAUACCCGGGUAGUCCAUACCGUAAACGAUGUGUGCUAGUUGUCGGGCCCAUAGGGUUCGGUGACGCAGCUAACGCUUUAAGCACACCGCCUGGGGAGUACGGUCGCAAGAUUAAAACUCAAAGGAAUUGACGGGGACCCGCACAAGCGGUGGAGCAUGUUCUUUAAUUCGAAGCAACGCGAAGAACCUUACCCACACUUGACAUGCCUCUUUUGGCUUUCAGAGAUGAUUGCCUUCGGUUCGGCCGGGGAGUGCACAGGUGCUGCAUGGCUGUCGUCAGCUCGUGUCGUGAGAUGUUGGGUUAAGUCCCGCAACGAGCGCAACCCUUAUCGUAUGUUGCCAGCAUUUAGUUGGGCACUCAUGCGAGACUGCCGGUGAUAAG